UCGCGGCUUAUCACCGGCAGUCCCCUUAGAGUGCCCAACUGAAUGAUAGCAACUAAGGGCGAGGGUUGCGCUCGUUGCGGGACUUAUCCCAACAUCUCACGACACGAGCUGACGACAGCCAUGCAGCACCUGUCUCUGCGCCCCUUGCGGGGAAAGCCUGUUUCCAGGCCGAGCACAGGAUGUCAAACCCUGGUAAGGUUCUGCGCGUUGCGUCGAAUUAAACCACAUGCUCCACCGCUUGUGCGGGCCCCCGUCAAUUCCUUUGAGUUUCAGCCUUGCGGCCGUACUCCCCAGGCGGGGCACUUACUGCGUUAGCGACGGCACCGGGAGGGUCGCUCCCCCCGACGCCUAGUGCCCAUCGUUUACGGCGUGGACUAC
rnacentral:misc_RNA from 1 species